GAUGAACGCUGGCGGCGUGCUUAACACAUGCAAGUCGAGCGAAGCACUUAACUUUGAUUCUUUCGGGAUGAAGAGUUCUGUGACUGAGCGGCGGACGGGUGAGUAACGCGUGGGUAACCUGCCUCAUACAGGGGGAUAACAGUUAGAAAUGGCUGCUAAUACCGCAUAAGACCACAGCACGCAUGGUGCAGGGGUAAAAACUCCGGUGGUAUGAGAUGGACCCGCGUCUGAUUAGCUAGUUGGUGGGUAACGGCUACCAAGGCGACGAUCAGUAGCCGACCUGAGAGGGUGACCGGCACAUUGGGACUGAG
rnacentral:rRNA from 1 species